rnacentral:rRNA from 1 species
AUGUCAGCAUGCUGCUCCAGAUGCCAUUUCAUACUAUUUCUAAAGUGUGUUGUCCAUUCACUUGAGGCUAAAAUCUUACUUGAUUGUUGGCCAUAUUGCAUUUUUGUUUUUUCCUCAGGACAUGUAUCCAUUUUGGACUCAAUUAGCUUUGCUCGGAUUCUGAAUGUAUUAGUGAGAGAUCAUUGUAGUUCUGGUGGCAAUGCCAUCACUGCUGAAUAUGUAAAACAGGAGACGAUAAAUGCUCUAUAUUUGAGAGUCAUUCUCAUCCCUAAACUAUAUAUAUUUAUUAUAAUGGCUCGACUGCAAGACCAUACAAACAAAACAAUCAACAAAAUAAUGCCACCCAGCCACACGCAAUUUAACCAAACAGCGCAGCAAAGCGUGCGUACGCUUCUAGUAUCACCUAUUCCUGGAUGA